CAAUAGCGUAUAUCUAAGUUGCUGCAGUUAAAAAGCUCGUAGUUGGAUUUCGGGUGGGAAUGGCCGGUCCGCCGUUUCGGUGUGCACUUGCUACGCCCACCUUGCUGCCGGGGACGUGCUCUUGAGUUCACGCUCGGGACACGGAGUCGGCGAGGUUACUUUGAGUAAAUUAGAGUGUUCAAAGCAGGCCUGCGCUCUGAAUACAUUAGCAUGGAAUAACACGAUAGGACUCUGGCCUAUCUUGUUGGUCUGUAGGACCGGAGUAUGAUUAAGAGGGACAGUCGGGGGCAUUCGUAUUUCAUUGUCAGAGGUGAAAUUCUUGGAUUUAUGAAAGACGAACUACUGCGAAAGCAUUUGCCAAGGAUGUUUUCAUUAA
rnacentral:rRNA from 1 species